AGUAGAUGUGAAGAUGGUGGCAAGAGGUUGGAGUGAGGCCAGAAAGCAGCCAGGAACCAAGGGUGGUAGGAGGUUUUUAGAAGCUGAAAAGACAAGAAAGUAGAUUGUCCCUGGGAGCCUCCAGAAAGCACAAGCCCUGCCAACACCUUGGCUUGAGCCCAGUGAAACUGAUUUUGGACUCCUGACCUCCAGAACUGCCUAAAGUGCUGGAAUGGAAAGAAGCCUAGAAUAAGAACUAAGCAGCACAAGCUUUGGCUUCAGCUCAGCCAAUAACCAGCUGUACAAUGGUGGUGAGUCAGAACUCUGGGCCUGCCUGUUUCCUUAUCUGUGAAAACCUGUAAAGAGGGCUUCUUACUCUGUUAAAAGAGAGUGCGGCAGUAAAGUAAGAGAUCAGAAGGAAGAUGAGACUCAAAACUGGCACAGAAAACACAGGUCCUCUUGCUUUUUCUAGCAGAGCUAUCCUAAACAUCACCUUUCAUCACUAGCAUAUUAACUACUGCAAUGGAAAGAAUCUGGGACUGCAACAGUAAUUGAAUCUGUGUAUACAAUGAAUUCAGCUAUCCUAAAGACAUCCAAGGCAUCUCAAAGCUCCCGAGGUAUUUGUGUGCUCUUUCGACAGACCUGUGUAGGCAAAAGAUGAGACACAUUCACAAUUUAAUGAGGUGAUAAAGCUAAUGCAAGUCAGACUGCAGGACUUAAUGGUUUGGCUUGUCAGUCCACUUCCAAGAUAGGGAUCUAAUGUGUCAUCAAUCUGUACAACUCCCCUAUGAGGCGGUUGCUGGGCAACCAGUCUGUAAUUUGGUAGAUAUAGUAAGGCACAUCUUUGAAUCAUGAUCCCACUUGACCAUUUUCACUAAUGUAUUUACUAUUCAUCACCAUUCCCUUCCAUUUGGUUUUCUGACAGCCUAAUGUCAGUGUUCUUCAACUAAAAAUGCUUUCAGGUUUAAUGAGAUUUCCCUUUUUUACUCCAUUCAUUUUCAGCAGCAACAUUGCUAAUGGAUUGCCAAGACAUGUUGGUUUUGUUUUGUUUUUCUGUCACAGUUAUAACCAUAACUUUACUUACAUGCUCUGUACUAGAAUUAGAAGCUCAGGAUGGUCUAGAGCCACCAGCCUUCUGGAUGAUUUUAAGUCCAAAUGGCUAUAAAUGCCCCUGUGGCACUUAUUUAUGAGCUGCAUAUGGUAAAUUUUUGUGGUGCUGUUGAUAUAGGCAAUGGUACAGUGAACUAGAAAAAAAAAUCAGUGCUCCUUUGAUUAAAUUCAUCCAAAGGGCCUCAUUCAUUCAGUCAGUGACCAUUCCACAAAUGUUUUCAAAAUGUGGGCUGUGUGACUGGUAGUAUGCCACUAAGCUCUGAGGAUUCAGUUAUGAGUGCAACAGAGCCUCUGUCUCCAAGUUGCUACAUGAAGAGACAGAGAAGGAGAGAAACUUUUAUCAAUCAGAGGGACACCCGCUGAGUGAGUACAAAGGGCACUCAACCAAGACAUAGGUGGUCAGAGAAGCUCUUCCAGAGUGAUGGUCUUAAACAGGAAGUGAGUUAACCAGAAGAUCAGGAGAAAAGAGCAAGGGAAAGGGAGUAAGAUGUACAAAGACUGAGAGAGACUUGGCAGUAGGGUUGAGGAUUUGUAAGUGGUUGAGUGUGACUGGAGAAUGAUUGAUUGGAGGAUGAGAAAAUUCAGACUCUGUCUGUGCUUGGAGGAGAACUGUUAGAUCUGUUCACUAAGUUGCAGUCUCCUAACUUUAGUUUUCCAACCCAGACAAAAGAUAGUGCUUUAUGUCCCUUAGCUACUGCCUUAAAAUUUUAGGAACUGUAUCCCAUAGAUAAUAGGGUGCUAUAGUUAAAUGAUUCCAAAUUUUUCAUAUUUAUUUUUUGUGCUAAAAAUGGUAACUUUCUGCUUGAGGUUUAGACAUGGUUCCUCCACAUUGCGUUUAUUGCAAAUAGAAUAAAGCACUGUACUUUCAGUUAAUUAUUUCUUAGCAGCUGCUUUCCCAGUUGUGCACCCACGGCAUUGGAACUUGACUCGUUUCUUUUGCAGGACCACACUGUAUAGGUAGGUAGAGAACUGCAGGUGGUUUUCAAUGAAGGUAAUUGCCCACACAAUAUAUUAUUGAUGGUUCCCCAGCAGCUGACAGUUGCCAG
rnacentral:lncRNA from 1 species